GACGAACGCUGGCGGCGCGCUUAACACAUGCCAGUCGAGCGAUGAAAUUUCGACAGAUCCCUUCGGGGUGAAGAUGAAAUGGAUUAGCGGCGGACGGGUGAGUAACACGUGAGUAACCUGCCUUUGACAUUGGGAUAGCCUCGGGAAACUGGGAUUAAUACCAAAUGACACUAACUGAUCACAUGAUCAAUUAGUCAAAGAAAUUCGGUCAAAGAUGGACUCGCGGCUGAUUAGCUAGUUGGUGAGGUAACGGCCCACCAAGGCGACGAUCAGUAGCCGGCCUGAGAGGGUGAUCGGCCACAUUGGAACUGAGACACGGUCCAAACUCCUACGGGAGGCAGCAGUGGGGAAUAUUGCACAAUGGGGGAAACCCUGAUGCAGCGACGCCGCGUGAGCGAAGAAGGCCUUCGGGUCGUAAAGCUCUUUUAUGAGGGAAGAUAAUGACGGUACCUCAAGAAAAAGCCCCGGCUAACUACGUG
rnacentral:rRNA from 1 species